GUUGCAUCGGGGAUAGUGGCGAACGGGUGAGUAACACGUGAGUAACCUGCCCUUGACUCUGGGAUAAGCCUGGGAAACUGGGUCUAAUACCGGAUACGACCGAUCACCGCAUGGUGUGUUGGUGGAAAGCUUUUGCGGUUUUGGAUGGACUCGCGGCCUAUCAGCUUGUUGGUGGGGUAAUGGCCUACCAAGGCGACGACGGGUAGCCGGCCUGAGAGGGUGACCGGCCACACUGGGACUGAGACACGGCCCAGACUCCUACGGGAGGCAGCAGUGGGGAAUAUUGCACAAUGGGCGAAAGCCUGAUGCAGCGACGCCGCGUGAGGGAUGACGGCCUUCGGGUUGUAAACCUCUUUCAGUAGGGAAGAAGCGAAAGUGACGGUACCUGCAGAAGAAGCGCCGGCUAACUACGUGCCAGCAGCCGCGGUAAUACGUAGGGCGCAAGCGUUAUCCGGAAUUAUUGGGCGUAAAGAGCUCGUAGGCGGUUUGUCGCGUCUGCUGUGAAAGACCGGGGGCUCACUCCGGUUCUGCAGUGGGUACGGGCAGACUAGAGUGA
rnacentral:rRNA from 1 species